AUACGGAAGGUCCGGGCGUUAUCCGGAUUUAUUGGGUUUAAAGGGAGCGCAGGCGGAGAUGCAAGCGUGACGUCAAAUUUCGGGGCUCAACCCCGUCUCGCGUCGCGAACUGCGUCCCUUGGUUGCGGGAAGGGGAGGCGGAACUCGUGGUGUAGCGGUGAAAUGCAUAGAUAUCACGAAGAACUCCGAUCGCGAAGGCAGCCUUCCGGCCCGUCAACGACGCUCAUGCUCGAAGGUGCGGGUAUCAAACAGGAUUAGAUUCCCUGGUAGUCCGUACAGUAAACGAUGGACACCCGCGGUUUGGCCUGUAUGGCUGAGCCGCCAAGCGAAAGCGUUAAGUGUCCCACCUGGGGAGUACGCCGGCAACGGUGAAACUCAAAUGAAUUGACGGGG
rnacentral:rRNA from 1 species